rnacentral:rRNA from 1 species
UACGUAGGGGGCUAGCGUUGUUCGGAUUCAUUGGGCGUAAAGCGCGUGUAGGCGGUCAUGUAGGUCUGGUGUGAAAACUCGAGGCUUAACCUCGAGAUGUCAUCGGAAACCAUUUGGCUAGAGUCCGGAAGAGGAGAGUGGAAUUCCUGGUGUAGCGGUGAAAUGCGCAGAUAUCAGGAAGAACACCAAUGGCGAAAGCAGCUCUCUGGGACGGUACUGACGCUGAGACGCGAAAGCGUGGGGAGCGAACAGG